rnacentral:rRNA from 1 species
GCCAGACUCCUACGGGAGGCAGCAGUGGGGAAUAUUGCACAAUGGGGGGAACCCUGAUGCAGCGACGCCGCGUGGGUGAAGAAGUAUUUCGGUAUGUAAAGCCCUCUCAGCAGGGAAGAAAAAUGACGGUACCUGACUAAGAAGCACCGGCUAAAUACGUGCCAGCAGCCGCGGUAAUACGUAUGGUGCAAGCGUUAUCCGGAUUUACUGGGUGUAAAGGGAGCGCAGGCGGCACGCUAAGCCUGAUGUGAAAACCCGCGGCCCAACCGCGGGAGUGCAUUGGGAACUGGCGGGCUGGAGUACCGGAGGGGCAGGCGGAAUUCCUAGUGUAGCGGUGAAAUGCGUAGAUAUUAGGAGGAACACCAGUGGCGAAGGCGACCUGCUGGACGGAGACUGACGCUGAGGCUCGAAAGCGUGGGGAGCAAACAGGAUUAGAUACCCUAGUA